rnacentral:rRNA from 1 species
AACGAACGCUGGCGGCAUGCCUAACACAUGCGAGUCGAACGAGAUCCUUCGGGGUCUAGUGGCGCACGGGUGCGUAACGCGUGGGAAUCUGCCCUUAGGUUCGGAAUAACAGUUAGAAAUGACUGCUAAUACCGGAUGAUGACGUUAAGUCCAAAGAUUUAUCGCCUGAGGAUGAGCCCGCGUAGGAUUAGCUAGUUGGUGUGGUAAAGGCGCACCAAGGCGACGAUCCUUAGCUGGUCUGAGAGGAUGAUCAGCCACACUGGGACUGAGACACGGCCCAGACUCCUACGGGAGGCAGCAGUGGGGAAUAUUGGACAAUGGGCGCAAGCCUGAUCCAGCAAUGCCGCGUGAGUGAUGAAGGCCUUAGGGUUGUAAAGCUCUUUUACCCGGGAUGAUAAUGACAGUACCGGGAGAAUAAGCCCCGGCUAACUCCGUG